UACGAAGGGGGCUAGCGUUGUUCGGAAUCACUGGGCGUAAAGGGCGCGUAGGCGGCUUUAUAAGUCGGGGGUGAAAGCCUGUGGCUCAACCACAGAAUUGCCUUCGAUACUGUAGAGCUUGAGACCGGAAGAGGUAAGUGGAACUGCGAGUGUAGAGGUGAAAUUCGUAGAUAUUCGGAAGAACACCAGUGGCGAAGGCGGCUCACUGGCCCGGUACUGACGCUG
rnacentral:rRNA from 1 species